AUACUACUCCCUCCGUCCGGAAAUACUUGUCUUAGAAAUGGUUGAAAAUGAAUGUAUCUAUAACUAAAAUAAGUCUAGAUACAACCAUUUCUAAGACAAGUAUUUCCGGACGGAGGGAGUACAUG
rnacentral:pre_miRNA from 1 species